GAAAUGUGUAAAUACUAGGUAUUAUGACUAGGUAUUAUGGUUAUUAUUUGUCUUUUUGUAACUGACAUAAUCUGUUAAAUUGUUGAACGUAUUUUUUGGUCACUAAAUCUAUACUUCAGCAGUCCCCUCUUCUGUCCUCUGCAGACUUUACAUUUCCUGUGAAGGAGGAACUUUGUGCCAUCCCUGUGUAAUGGGAAGGACUUGGACGCUGCGCUGACACUUAUCUCUUCACCCCUCACGAGCAGGUAACCAGAGACAGCUGGGGGCUCUCUUUCUGCCUCCCUUGAAUGGGAAUGCCUUCUGAAUGCCUCUUUCAUGUACCUGCACAAACCCUGCUCUGCUAAAACUGCUACGGUCGAGCUUCUCAAAGGCUGAAUAGGUUUUCAUUGCCUGCAUUUCUGGUCUGAAGCAGACUGAGAGAAAUGAGUGUUAAGUAAACGCAGUGGCAGCCCUGCCAGCGUCAGCAUUCCAGCCUACAGUGCUGCUCUGGACCAGGACACUGCCGGCACAGACUUCUACACAUCCAGCUGUCAGGGGGUUGUUUUACUUGCUAGCAGUUGAAAAGAAGAGGGAUGCAUGGCAGACCAAAGACUGGCAAGUCUAGUUUUUAUGAAGCCGUUUAUUUUUUCUAUAACAAGUGUGUGUUGCCUUAUGGAUGUUGAAUGGGAAUUUAAUACAGUGAUAAAGUAAAAUUGUAAACUUA